rnacentral:rRNA from 1 species
AGUGAACGCUGGCGGUAGGCCUAACACAUGCAAGUCGAACGGCAGCACAGUAAGAGCUUGCUCUUACGGGUGGCGAGUGGCGGACGGGUGAGGAAUACAUCGGAAUCUACUUUUUCGUGGGGGAUAACGUAGGGAAACUUACGCUAAUACCGCAUACGACCUACGGGUGAAAGCAGGGGAUCUUCGGACCUUGCGCGAUUGAAUGAGUCGAUGUCGGAUUAGCUAGUUGGCGGGGUAAAGGCCCACCAAGGCGACGAUCCGUAGCUGGUCUGAGAGGAUGAUCAGCCACACUGGAACUGAGACACGGUCCAGACUACUACGGGAGGCAGCAGUGGGGAAUAUUGGACAAUGGGCGCAAGCCUGAUCCAGCCAUACCGCGUGGGUGAAGAAGGCCUUCGGGUUGUAAAGCCCUUUUGUUGGGAAAGAAAAGCAGCAGGUUAAUACCCCGCUGUUCUGACGGUACCCAAAGAAUAAGCACCGGCUAACUUCGUG